AGUAUAAUUAGUAUUAUAGCUAUUAAAAUUAGUACGGUAUUGCAUGGCUGUCGUCAGUUCGUGCCGUAAGGUGUAGAAUUAAGUUUUUCUAAACGAAUGUAACCCUAUAAGUAAGUUUUUAUAUUUUUUACAUUUUUUAAAAAUAUAUACUUAUUUAUUAUCUGUCUCUAUAUGUCAAAUUACUAAUAUAAUUUCCAUAUAUCGACAGGGGUUUUAGGCUGAAGUCAAGUCCCUAUGGUCUUUAUAUGUUGGGCUACACACGUGUUACAAGGAUAAAAACAAAGAGAUGCAAAGAUUCAAGUCUAAGCUGACCUCUAAAAAUUAUCGUAGUUCAGAUUGUCUCAUGAAACUCUGAGGCAUGAAGAUGAAAUCGUUAGUAAUUGUAAAUUAAAAUGUUACAGUGAAAGAAUUGUCAAAUUUUGCACACACCGCCCAUCACGCUCGGAGAGUCGUUAAUAGUGGAAAAAUUGAACUUAAUAUGAAAAUUUUUAGAAAUAAAAAUUUUUGUUAAACUUAUUGUUUAAAAUGUUUAUUUAGUAAAUUUUAAUCUAUUAGUGGUAAUUUGAGUGAAGUUGACACAAGGUAC
rnacentral:rRNA from 1 species